rnacentral:sRNA from 1 species
UCCAGGUGCAGUGGUGCACACCUGGAGCCCCAGCUACCUGGGAGGCUGAGGCAGGAGGAUGGCUCGAGUCCAGGGGUUUAAGGCCAGCCUGGACAACAUAGCAAGACCCUGUCUCAA